GCCAUAUAACAUUGAAACACCAGUCCUUGUAUGAUCACUAAAGUUAAGCAAUGUAAAGCCUGGUCAGUACCUAGAUGGGUGACAGCUUAGGAAUACUAGGUGCUGUAAG